UUCAUAAUGCAGAACUUCAGUCCUAUUCCAGAAGGCUCUCUUCUAGCAGAAUCUGCAGGGCAUUGAUUAUAUACCCGAUGAGCCAUAGAAUCAUCAAGACCCAGGCCAGCUCCACUCGGAGUUGCUCCAUACUCUGCAUGGUCCACUCUUCUAUCUCCUUCUGUUUCCCACUUAGGUAUUCGGAGCACCAUUCAGGCUGAUGCUCAUGCUGCUACUGAACUGCCCCAGACACUGGUGUCAUCUCCAUUACCUGAAGAGGACAAUGAAAUGUCUCCUUUAUCUUUAUCCUGCUUCUGUGUAGCAGAGUCUCAAAUGAAUACAGACUUCAGGGUCGUGGCUCUUUGAGAAUGUCACACAGCACUUUAUGCCCACAGCAUACAAUGCUUCCAGAAAGUCUAGGUCAAGGCAGCCGGACAGUACCAGGAGCCUCAGGCCCUGUCGCUGAAGCUGCCCCAUCGUGCCACACUUCACAACUUCCAAAGGUAGAGUUCUCUCUGAAAACUCACAAUCUUGCCAUCUGUCUCCAUUCUCAUAUCUCAAUCUAUUCAGCUUAUCAGUCUCCAUGUGCCACUUUCCCAUGAGGCAUUUCAACAUCCAUGUAAAUCAGAAGUGAUGCAUAAACUAGGUGUCAGGAGCAUAGGGGAGCACAAGGCAUUAUCUAUUUCUGUGAGCCAUGCUUAACAUACAGCUACUCAGUACCAAAGAACUCAGUCGCUACAAUAUAGAGAUAAUUACAAACAAAUGAGUGACAUCAACGAGAUCUAAGUUGUCAUAAAUACAAUUUCAUAUUUUUUUAUGAAUGAAAAAAUAUUUAUCUUUUUUCAAAAAUUCACUUGGAAAUUAUUUUCAUGAUAUAGUACCAUGAUCAUGAUUUUAUCAUACUCUCCAACAACAUCAAUAAGAAAAACCAGCUCAGGGCAGGCCCUGUGGCAUAGUGGUUAAGUCCAGCACACUCUGCUUUGGCAGCCCAGGUUCACAAUUUUGGAUCCUGGGCAUGGACCUACACCACUCGUCAAGCCACACUUUGGUGGUGAUCCACAUACAAAAUAGAUGAAGAUUAGCAAGGUGUUAGCUCAGAGUAAAUUUUCCUCAACGAAAAAAAGAAAAGAAGGCUCUCAAGCUCUGAAGCUUUUCCUAUACUCUGCUCUUCUCCCCCAAGGCCCUAACAUUCCACACACAUUCCAUGGUUGCCAGGAUGCUCUGCUUUAUUCAGCAUUACAUCACCAGAUGCUAGGAACAUAUCUGGAGUAGAGUGGACUUUUGUGACUCUGAAGUUUGGCCCAGUGUAGUCACAGUCGAUUGCUAGCAAUAUUCAGAUUGAAUCCAGAGAAGUCAACUGCAGAGGGUUGCUUCUGGGGGCAUUAACUCCUCCCCAUCUCUGACCUGCUGCUUGAGCAGACUCCUAAUGUGUUUCUAGAGCCAGAGAAAGCCCUCAGACUGAGGCAUUUGAGGUCUCUCAUAAACAAGGAGGACAGUUUAACAGAAUUCAAAAUAACCUAAAGAGUACAAACCAAGGAAAAUUCUUUAUGACUACCAAGUAACAAUAUGAAGAAUGAAACCACUCAUGCUGGGUUGCCUACAGAUGG
ensembl:lncRNA